rnacentral:rRNA from 1 species
AAUGGCUCAUUAAAUCAGUUAUCGUUUAUUUGAUAGUACCUUACUACAUGGAUAACCGUGGUAAUUCUAGAGCUAAUACAUGCUAAAAACCCCGACUUCGGAAGGGGUGUAUUUAUUAGAUAAAAAACCAAUGCCCUUCGGGGCUUCUUGGUGAUUCAUAAUAACUUAACGAAUCGCAUGGCCUUGCGCCGGCGAUGGUUCAUUCAAAUUUCUGCCCUAUCAACUUUCGAUGGUAGGAUAGUGGCCUACCAUGGUAUCAACGGGUAACGGGGAAUUAGGGUUCGACUCCGGAGAGGGAGCCUGAGAAACGGCUACCACAUCCAAGGAAGGCAGCAGGCGCGCAAAUUACCCAAUCCCGACACGGGGAGGUAGUGACAAUAAAUACUGAUACAGGGCUCUUUUGGGUCUUGUAAUUGGAAUGAGUACAAUCUAAAUCCCUUAACGAGGAACAAUUGGAGGGCAAGUCUGGUGCCAGCAGCCGCGGUAAUUCCAGCUCCAAUAGCGUAUAUUAAAGUUGUUGCAGUUAAAAAGCUCGUAGUUGAACCUUGGGCCUGGCUGGCCGGUCCGCCUCACCGCGUGCACUGGUCCGGCCGGGCCUUUCCUUCUGGGGAGCCGCAUGCCCUUCACUGGGCGUGUCGGGGAACCAGGACUUUUACUUUGAAAAAAUUAGAGUGUUCAAAGCAGGCCUUUGCUCGAAUACAUUAGCAUGGAAUAAUAGAAUAGGACGCGUGGUUCUAUUUUGUUGGUUUCUAGGACCGCCGUAAUGAUUAAUAGGGAUAGUCGGGGCCAUCCGUAUUCAAUUGUCAGAGGUGAAAUUCUUGGAUUUAUUGAAGACGAACUACUGCGAAAGCAUUUGGCAAGGAUGUUUUCAUUAUUCAGUGAACGAAAGUUAGGGGAUCGAAGACGAUCAGAUACCGUUGUAGUCUUAACCAUAAACUAUGCCGACUAGGGAUCGGACGGUGUUAUUAUUUUGACCCGUUCGG